AGGCGGAGUGCUUAAUGCGUUAGCUGCAGCACUAAGGGGCGGAAACCCCCUAACACUUAGCACUCAUCGUUUACGGCGUGGACUACCAGGGUAUCUAAUCCUGUUUGAUCCCCACGCUUUCGCACAUCAGCGUCAGUUACAGACCAGAAAGUCGCCUUCGCCACUGGUGUUCCUCCAUAUCUCUGCGCAUUUCACCGCUACACAUGGAAUUCCACUUUCCUCUUCUGUACUCAAGUUUCCCAGUUUCCAAUGACCCUCCACGGUUGAGCCGUGGGCUUUCACAUCAGACUUAAGAAACCGCCUACGCGCGCUUUACGCCCAAUAAUUCCGGAUAACGCUUGCCACCUACGUAUUACCGCGGCUGCUGGCACGUAGUUAGCCGUGGCUUUCUGAUUAGGUACCGUCAAGAUGUGCACAGUUACUUACACAUUUGUUCUUCCCUAAUAACAGAGUUUUACGAUCCGAAAACCUUCAUCACUCACGCGGCGUUGCUCCGUCAGACUUUCGUCCAUUGCGGAAGAUUCCCUACUGCUGCCUCCCGUAGAAGUCUGGACCGUGUCUCAGUUCCAGUGUGGCCGAUCACCCUCUCAGGUCGGCUACGUAUCGUUGCCUUGGUAAGCCGUUACCUUACCAACUAGCUAAUACGGCGCGGGUCCAUCUAUAAGUGAUAGCAAAACCAUCUUUUACUUUAGAACCAUGCGGUUCCAAAUGUUAUCCGGCAUUAGCUCCGGUUUCCGAAGUUAUUCCAGUCUUAUAG
rnacentral:rRNA from 1 species